AAUAAACAUUUUUGUUAAUUUUCAGUUGACAGAAGCACAAGAUCAAGGUACAAGCUCUGUGCAACAUGAUGAAAAAAUGGAAGAACCCUUAGACAGUUGACAGAAGCACAAGAUCAAGGUACAAGCUCUGUGCAACAUGAUGAAAAAAUGGAAGAACCCUUAGACAGGUAUGGCUUAACCAAAUGACUUGAGCAACUAUAAAGGAAAUCAGCAGCAUAAUAUGAGACAUAUUGCAGUUAUAUAAGUACUAAAUCUUCAUUAGGCCAGGGGAAAAUUCUAGCUUUGAUAAAUGUACCUGAAAGGAGUAAUUUAGGGGAGCAGAAAUAGUACAGUGAGGAGAGAGCAUGUGCUUUCCACGUGGAGCCCUGUGUUCACACC
rnacentral:lncRNA from 1 species